UUGCUGGUCUAAGUUUUACAUCUCUACCCUCCACGAAAAUAGCGUCUGCAAAGCAAACAACAGUGACUUUAGCAUUAACAAGGGGAUAUUUAGCCCAGUCAAGAGCGAAGACCAAAUAUGUUUCUGCAUCCUGUUUUAGCAACAGCAUUUGCCUUCUAACAGGGAAUUUACUAAUUCUCUCUCUUUCUUAUUGCUUGGUUAAAGCAUUGAUUUGAUACUUAAUGACUUAGUCUAGCUUUCCUUUCUUUCUUUUUUCCUCUUGGAACAACCUCUAAUCCCUGCUUAAAGUAAUUGAAAUAAUGAUAAAAACCCAUUUCGGAGGUGGCAUUGUGUAGGCAGUGAGUGUUCUGUGGCUCCUGGGAAUGCGACUUUCUUCCUGGAUGAUUUUCACCCUUUAGGAAGCUUGGAGGAGAAGGAGGGGGCUGCGAAGACUACAAUGGCUCUGGCAACAAGUACAAUUAAUAUCUUAGAGAUCCUUGAUAGGAGAAGGGAAAACUAACAUUGAUUCAGCACCUACUGUGUGCCAGGAACUGGGUCAGCCACGUUAUAUCUGUUGGCCACAGCACUAGCUUUGGUUGAUGAUGAGACACUGAAUCAUAAAAAUCAGAUGGCUUGGCUAGUAUCUCAGGGGUAAUAAACCCUAGAACCAAGAAGCAUGUCUAGAUCUUUGUGUUUUUAUCACUUUUUCUUGGGGGAAUUUCUAGAAAAGUUUAACAUUCAGUUCAGUUUUAUGGAGAGUUCACUGAAAUGCAUGGGAGCCGCUAUUGUCUCCGUGGGACUGAUAACCUUUGGGCCUGGUGGGGAGGGGAGAAAGUGAAUACAAAAUGGGGAGUUCCUCUCGUGACACAGCAGAAACAAAUCCGACUAGUAUCUGUGAGAAUGCAGGUUUGACCCUAGUGGGUCGGGGAUCCAGUGUUGCUGCAAGCUGCAGUGUAGGUAGAAGACGUAGCUCGGAUCUGGCGUUGCUGUGGCUGUGGCGUAAGCCAGAAGCUACAGCUCUGCUUCGACCCUCUCCUGGGAACUUCCAUGUGCUGCAGGUGCAGCCCUAAGAAGAAAAAAAAAAGGGGGGGGAUACAAAAUGAUCUGGAGAAGGGGAGAAUUGAUUGGGGACCUAAAGCCUCCUGAGCUUUGUUUGUGCCCAUCAGCAGUCCCUAGAGUGAGCGUAAGUUUACCCAUGAACCACGCGGGAGUGGAAGGUGGAGGCAGUGGUGGGGGUCCUGGGCCCCCUGUGACUGCUCGCUCUACCCUGCAGAGGUGGGGAGGGCGGGGAGGGGUGUUCCAUCCAGCCCCCAGGGAGGAUUGCCAGAGGCCUGGAAGUGCUUCUCAGAAUUGUUGUAUUCUUCCCCAGUGGGCAUGGGAAUUUUCCUAACUGAUCGUGUUUUCCUCCGCACACCGACUGCCAGAAAGCUGAGCGUUAGCAAGGGACUAGAUUUCCUGACCUGUGUUGUAUUUAUUACUUCUCCUUGUUCCUUUGCUGCAUUCCGCAAACAGUUCCCUGUCUUUAUUUCCCCUUUGCCUCAUUUUCUUAAGAUUUUUCAUUUAUUUUAUAUUGUAUUUAUAUAAUCUGGAUGCUAUUCUUUGGGAGAUAAAGAGGAUAUAAAUAAAAAUAAAAGUUAAAUGUUAGCUGUUAAAUGUAUUGCUGUUGAUCUCCUUAAACAGAAGGCGAUCUCAUUUCACCUUGGUUCAUCUUUUAAAGGUAACUAAAAUAGUGUGACUUUUUGGAGUAUUAUUGGAAAAGAUUGGAUGGCUUUCUACUACUUGGGAUAUAAUAUGAAAAAGUGUGAAAAUGAGGUGAUAAAAGUAUAGGACAGUAGAAAUUAUAAUCAUCAAUUAGUGGGUAGUGAAAUCAACUUAGUUGGUUGCCAUAGCAUUAAAAAUUGGAAUAUAGUGGAGUAGAAUAGGUCAGAGUACUUCACCUAUGUUGCUUGUGAAAAACUUGUGCCACACCCAUACACAUAUAUAAUACAUGUAUAUUGUGCUAAUUUUUUUACCCUGGACUCUGCCCCAAAAGCCAUUGAGUCACCCAUAGCUCUGCCUCGGAUUAACUGUGUUGGCUUGUGUCCCCUGGUGGCUGUCCUAUCUUCUGUCAUCAUUGUCAGGAAGUCUUGUUUUGGAGAUUACUAAGGAUGGGAUUCUCAGACUAGGGAAUGUAAGCAUCGCACGCAGGGAGGACCUUUUAAAAAUGUAGAUUUUCACAUCCCAACCCCAGAAACUCAGAAUGUGCAGGCCUUGGAUGUGGCCUAGGAUUUUGCAGUUUAAGAGCCUUCUAUGGGGAGUUCCCACUGUGGCUCAGUGGGCUAAGAAUCUGACUAGUAUCAAUAGGGAUGCAGGUUCGAUCCCUGGCCCUGCUCAGUGGGUUAAAGAUCCAGCAUUGCCGUGAGCUGUGGUAUAUAGGUUGCAUAUGUGGCUUAGAUCUGGUGUUGCUGUGGC
rnacentral:lncRNA from 9 species